rnacentral:rRNA from 1 species
GACGAACGCUGGCGGCGUGCUUAACACAUGCAAGUCGAACGGAGUGGCGAACGGGUGAGUAACACGUGGGUGACCUGCCCUGCACUUCGGGAUAAGCCUGGGAAACUGGGUCUAAUACCGGAUAGUGUGGGAUGGGGCCGCGGCCUAUCAGCUUGUUGGUGGGGUAAUGGCCUACCAAGGCGGCGACGGUUAGUCGGCCUGCGAGGGUGGACGGCCACAGUGGGACUGAGACGCGGCCCAGGCUGCUACGGGAGGCAGCAGUGGGGAAGAUUGCACAAUGGGCGGAGGCCUGAUGCAGCGACGCCGAGUGGGGGAUGACGGCCUUCGGGUUGUAAACCGCGUUCAGCCAUGACGCGGUAGUGGCAGAAGAAACACCGGCUAACUACGUGCCAGCAGCCGCGGUAAUAC